rnacentral:rRNA from 1 species
AAACCAACAGGGAUUGCCUCAGUAACGGCGAGUGAAGCGGCAAAAGCUCAAAUUUGAAACCCUCGGGAUUGUAAUUUGAAGAUUUGGCAUUGGAGAAAGCUAACCCAAGUUGCUUGGAAUAGUACGUCAUAGAGGGUGACAACCCCGUCUGGCUAACCGUUCUCCAUGUAUUGCCUUAUCAAAGAGUCGAGUUGUUUGGGAAUGCAGCUCAAAGUGGGUGGUAAACUCCAUCUAAAGCUAAAUACUGGUGAGAGACCGAUAGCGAACAAGUACUGUGAAGGAAAGGUGAAAAGAACUUUGAAAAGAGAGUGAAAUAGUAUGUGAAAUUGUUGAUAGGGAAGGAAAUGAGUGGAGAGUGGCCGAGGUUUCAGCCGCCCCUCGUGGGCGGUGUACUGCCGACGCCGAGUCAUCGAUAGCGAGACGAGGGUUACAAAUGGGAGCGCCUUCGGGCGUUCUCCCCUAACCCUCCACACUGCCACCGACGACAUAAUCCACC